rnacentral:rRNA from 1 species
UCAAGCUAAUAAGAGCAUAAGGUGAAUGCCUUGGCAUCAAGAACCGAUGAAGGACGUAAAAAGCUGCGAUAAGCUUCGGGGAGGCGCACAUAGCCAACGAUCCGGAGAUUUCCGAAUGGGGAAACCUAGCUGAGAAAAGCUCAGUUGGCGUACAGUGAAUCAAUAGCUGUGCGUAGGGAACGCUCUGAACUGAAACAUCUAAGUAGGAGGAGGAAGAGAAAGAAACAUCGAUUUCCUAAGUAGCGGCGAGCGAAAGGGAAAGAGGCCAAACCAGAGAUAGCAAUAUCUUUGGGGUUGCGGACUGCAUAAUUGAUUUAACAUCUUUAGCAGAAGUGUAUGGGAAGACACACCAUAGUAGGUAAUAGUCCUGUAAGCGAAAGGGAUGUUAACAUGGCAGUAUCCAGAGUACCACCGGACACGAGGAACCCGGUGGGAAGCCGGGGGGACCACCCCCCAAGCCUAAAUACUACCUGAUGACCGAUAGUGAAAAGUACAGUGAUGGAAAGUUGAAAAGAACCCCGGAAGGGGAGUGAAAAAGAAUCUGAAACCCUAUGUUUACAAGCUGCUAAAGCACUAUAUAUGUGCGAUAGCGUACUUUUUGUAGAACGGUCCGGCGAGUGUAUGUUGCAAGCGAGGUUAAGGUGUUAAGCACUGAAGCCGAAGGGAGACCGAGUGUGAAUAGCGCGUACAGUUUGCAGUAUACGACCCGAAACCGGGUGACCUAACCAUGGACAGGUUGAAGUGGAAGUAAAAUUCCAUGGAGGACCGAACCCACGUCUGUUGAAAAAGGCGGGGAUGAGCUGUGGUUAGCGGUGAAAUUCCAAUCGAACUCGGAUAUAGCUGGUUCUCAUCGAAAUAGCUUUAGGGCUAGCCUCAGGAUAGUUUAGCGGAGGUAAAGCACUGAAUGGGCUAGGGGGCUUCACGGCUUACCGAACCCUAUCAAACUCUGAAUGCCGCAUAAAUGUUUCCUGGGAGUCAGACUGCGUGAGAUAAGUUUCGUAGUCAAAAGGGAAAGAGCCCAGACCUACAGCUAAGGUCCCUAAAUGAAUUUAAGUGGAAAAGGAUGUGCAGUUGCGUAGACAACUAGGACGUUGGCUUAGAAGCAGCCACUCAUUUAAAGAGUGCGUAAUAGCUCACUAGUCGAGUGAUUGUGCGCCGAAAAUGUAACGGGGCUAAAAUUCAUACCGAAGCUUAGGAAUGAUAGUAAUAUUGUUGGUAGAUGAGCGUUGUGUAAGUCUGCGAAGCUACACCGAAAGGAGUAGUGGAGAUAUCACAAGUGAGAAUGCCGGAAUGAGUAGCGAGAAUUAUGUGAGAAUCAUAAUGGUCGAAAAUCUAAGGUUUCUUGAGGAAGGUUCGUCCGCUCAAGGUAAGCCGGGAGCUAAGGCGAGGCCGAGAGGCGUAGUCGAUGCACAUACGGUAAAGAUUCCGUAGCCACCGAAGUCGUUAAAUACAGGGACACAGGAACAUAGCCUAACCCCACCGUUGGUUGAGUGGGGCGUAAGGGAGCGAAAAUUAGUAGUGAAGUAGGUGAUUGUACACUGGCGAGAAAAGCUGUAUGGAUUGACAAGGUGCCCGUACCGCAAACCGACACAGGUAGAUGAGGAGAGAAUCCUAAGACCAGCGGGAGAAGUGUUGUUAAGGAACUCGGCAAAAUGACCCCGUAACUUCGGGAUAAGGGGAGCCUACGAGAGUAGGCCGCAGAGAAUAGUCUCAAGCGACUGUUUAGCAAAAACACAGGUCUAUGCUAAAUCGAAAGAUGAUGUAUAUGGGCUGACGCCUGCCCGGUGCUGGAAGGUUAAGGGGAAGUGUUAGAGCAAUCGAAGCACUGAACUUAAGCCCCAGUAAACGGCGGCCGUAACUAUAACGGUCCUAAGGUAGCGAAAUUCCUUGUCAGGUAAGUUCUGACCCGC